rfam:Clostridium pasteurianum BC1, complete genome.
GGAGGUGGGCCCUCCGGAGCCGGCAUACAGGUGCAGGUUUCAAACCACCAUUGGGUGCUGCAACCAAAAGUUGUGGUGCUGAGCGCGUAUGGAAAAGGCUGCAGUAGCAGUCAGGU